AUGAAGCUUAGAACAGAGGCUUCUAACAAGUUUGCAACUAUAUUGUCACCCUGUCUGUGUCUGGCUGCUCCUAUCUGCCUGCCUGCAAACACUGGCACGACGGAGGACAGUGUGGUGAUCGGAUCUCACGUGAGAGGCAGACUGUAGACAUCUCCUGUUCUGCCCGUUGCAGUGUUGAGCUGUUUUCCCUGGACCACCUACACAGAUCUCUGCCUCUCUGACUCCAGCCUUCAACUCUGGAUCUGUUCACUGAGUUUAUUUUUUUUAACGAAACCAGACAGAGAAGAUCUCCAUUGAGCCUGAUUUUUUCACCCCAGGACCAGGCUUAAUCUUUUUCCGCCAAACCAGCCCUGAAAAUAUAAUUGUAGGGUAGGCUUAUGCACAGACUGCUCAAACUAGAUAAUGGGGAGUGAUCUCUGUUGUGAUGGAUGCCUCAGCCUGAAUGUUCAUAAUUGUGCCAGUGCCCAGGAGGGAUGUGGAUGAUUAGGGGACGACUUGCUGCCUGGCUGGCUGUCUUUGUACACACGUUGUGUUUAUAAGGCUGUCUUUUCAGGCCAUCCCUUCCCCUAACAACGUCCUAUGUCACAGUGAAGCGCUAUAAGGGUAGAGGAAGACAAAGCCAAUGAACCUGGCCAAGAACAUCAGGGACUUAGUAAUGAAUGACUCAGAAGUGACUGUUACCUUUAGUCUGACAAGGAGCUGUGGGUGAGGUGAUUGCCCUCCCUCCUUUCACACACAUUCUUCUGCAAAAAUGAGCAUCUGCUACUGUGCUGUUCAUCGACUGUUAAUCGUUCCUUGGACCUCAGGGUGUGUCCACUGUGGUAUCCUCCCCGUGUGCAAAGAAACUUGCCAUGACCCUGGACAAACACCCUGCGGCUCUCCCCCGACUCCAUGGUGGUGACUUCCUCUCGGGCUGCGCAGCAUUUGUGGAAUGUCAAAACAACAUGGAUUUGACUGUGCCUGAAAAGAAC
ensembl:lncRNA